UGAGGAAUAUUGGUCAAUGGGCGGAAGCCUGAACCAGCCAAGCCGCGUGAGGGAAUAAGGCGCCAAGCGUCGUAAACCUCUUUUGUCAGGGAACAAAAGCGGGCACGCGUGCCCGUCCGAGUGUACCUGAAGAAAAAGCAUCGGCUAACUCCGUGCC
rnacentral:rRNA from 1 species